UACGUAGGGGGCAAGCGUUGUCCGGAAUCAUUGGGCGUAAAGAGCGUGUAGGCGGCCAGGUAGGUCUGCUGUGAAAACUCGAGGCUUAACCUCGAGCUGUCGGCGGAAACCAUCUGGCUAGAGUCCGGAAGAGGAGAAUGGAAUUCCCGGUGUAGCGGUGAAAUGCGCAGAUAUCGGGAGGACCACCAAUGGCGAAGGCAGCUUGCUGGGACGGUACUGACGCUGAGGCGCGAAAACGUGGGGAGCAAACAGG
rnacentral:rRNA from 1 species